rnacentral:rRNA from 3 species
ACAGCGCGGUGGUCCCACCUGACCCCAUGCCGAACUCAGAAGUGAAACGCCGUAGCGCCGAUGGUAGUGUGGGGUCUCCCCAUGUGAGAGUAGGGAACUGCCAGGC